rnacentral:tRNA from 1 species
GCCCCCGAGCCCGAAUGGAUAGGGGCCGGCCUACGAAGCCGGUCGAUGCGGGUUCGAGUCCCGCCGGGGGCGCCG